AUUGAACGCUGGCGGCAGGCCUAACACAUGCAAGUCGAGCGAGCGGCGGACGGGUGAGUAAUGUCUGGGAAACUGCCUGCUGGAGGGGGAUAACUACUGGAAACGGUAGCUAAUACCGCAUACCAUCAGAUGUGCCCAGAUGGGAUUAGCUAGUAGGUGGGGUAACGGCUCACCUGGGCGACGAUCCCUAGCUGGUCUGAGAGGAUGACCAGCCCCACUGGAACUGAGACACGGUCCAGGCUCCUACGGGAGGCAGCGGUGGGGAAUAUUGCAAAAUGGGCGCAGGCCUGAUGCAGCCAUGCCGGGUGUAUGAAGAAGGCCUUCGGGUUGUAAAGUACUUUCAGCGGGGAGGCGUUACCCGCAGGAGAAGCACCGGCUAACUCCGUGCCAGCAGCCGCGGUAAUAC
rnacentral:rRNA from 1 species